AGGCCAAUAACUCAGCGGUAGAGUGUCGGCCUUACAAGCCGCGAGUCAUCGGUUCAAAUCCGAUUUGGCCUA
rnacentral:tRNA from 1 species